GGCAACAACGACCUGGGCGACCUGGGUGUGGUGAUGCUCUGUGAGGUUCUGAAACAGCAGGGCUGCCUUCUGCAGAGCCUCCAGUUGGGUGAAAUGUAUUUUAAUUAUGAAACAAAACAAGCCUUAGAAGCGCUUCAGGAAGAAAAGCCUGAGUUGACAGUUGUCUUUGAGCCUUCUUGGUAGGUGUGGAAACAGGACUGCCAGGUGCCACAGUCCUGCUCUGUGCCCCAGUGCAUACCAUUCUUCAUGGUUUUUAAAUUCUCCUCCACCAUCAGGACCACAGCAAGACUUCUAGUUUAGGGUCUGGAGCGAAGGCUCAUGUGGGGAGCCAAGCAUGUUUCCCGCGUGAAGACAGUGAUAACAUGGACCUGCCAGAGGAUGUGGUUCCCAUCAUGUCCUCAGUUGCCAAGAUGUUCCCUCUUGGUGACCUCAUGGAACCAACUUACAGAAAGUUUUUUGUUCUUUUCUUCUCCUGUGCUGCUCUUUUAAUCUCUCCCCUUCUCAUUUUCUUUACAUUUGCUCAUAUCAUUGCUUUUGUCUUUCUGUUAACUGACUUCUGUAUAGGUAGCUGGCUCUGUGCUAGAUGGCAAGUCUUUGGCAGCUACUUGUUUUCAUUUUUAGAGUUAUGUUUUCUGUUUAGCUACCUGAAAACCUAGAGAUUUAUAAAAUCCAUUUUUGUAUUUAUUGUAUUAUGUACUGCUUUCUUAAUUUAAAAAUGUAUCUAAAAUUCUUUUAAGUUAUUUAUAACUUAAUAAACUACAAAAAUAAA